ensembl:lncRNA
AUGGCCUUGUCUCCGUGUAGGAAUGAGGAACAUGAUACAUCAGCAGAACUGGAUAAUUCUGCUGUAGAUGCCACUUCUUCUUGUACCUUGGUGUCCACAGUUGCGUCCAGCCCGGAGACCGUCGAAGAAAUUUCCAGGACAAGCAAUCCAGAAUCCCCUCAACCACCUCCUGCUAAAAAAGCCAGUACAUGCCAGCCCAGGACUGAUUUAAUUGUGAAAGAGGUGAAGGACCUCUUUUUCAAAAUGGACCGGGACUUUGUGGAGAGGGAACUUGUUCGGUUGGUAGAGCAAAGGGAGUAUGAGAACCGAAUGAGAAGGGAGGAAGAGCUGGCAAAGCAGACGGCGAUGCUGCGCGAGCUACAGGACACCCCAAACUGUUUUGAGCAAAAUUCUAUGCCGUAUGCCAGCACCCGCACCCUAUUAUGUGCCCGCUCUUCAUGCCCGUUCUCAACAACAAAGCACAUCCGACAACACAGAUAACAGCUUGUUCAACCCAUUGCAUCAUCACAGCUUGAGUAGGCCUGUUGUGUUAAGAGUUAAUUGUUACUGUAUAGCAAUUACUAAAAUUUUUAAUGUACAAAUUAUAAAUUAUUUUUUAUUGAGAGUCGUUGACGUGUAAUUUGUUUUUCAUGUGUAAUUUGUCAGCAUUUGAUACAAAUGGAUGUGCAUGUAACAGUCUAAACAAGUUAUAGCAGAGUCAUCAUAGCCUCACGAAUUACUUGAGCAUUACGCCCUCCCAUUUCUUGAAAAACAUCUUGUGCUGGCUCUUGUAAAACAUUUGUGAUGUUCCAGUCAGGCAGAAAAAUUUCUUUGUGCAUCUCACAAAUAUUGUGCAGAACACAACAAGCAGCGACAACAUCAGAGCAGUGUUGACAUUGUUGCGCUUUAGUAAGCACCGCCAACGCCCUUUGAGUCGCCCGAAGGCAUUCUCGACAACCAUUCGUGCUGAGCUCAGUCGGCAGUUGUACAGCCGUUGUUGAAGGGUCAGAGCAUGGUUGUUUGUGAAACCCUUUAUGUUCUUGAGCGGGUAUGCAGCAUCACCAAUUAAAUGGACAGGAACCUCGACUCCAUUCACAAUCAUGGAGCUAUGUUUAAAAAUAAAAAUGCAAUAUAGUAAAAUGCUAUUGUGAAC